GCCCGGCCGUGCGCUUCUCCUUAAUAAGCAGGUGUUGCACCACCAUACGUGUGUCGGGUCAAACAGUCGACACUCUUUAUAUGGCCACCAAAAUCCCCGAGCUCGCCAAAAGCCGUAAAAGGGUCCUGCGCACAAAGGCUACGAGUGACCAUUCAACUAUCACAAGGUGUGCAUUGUGGAAACGGAAAACCCCCCCAUCACCCUGAUUUCAUAAAACCUCAAGAGCAACCACCACCAGGUUGCGAUCAGUGGUGGCCCGUGUGGAAGUCCUUAAAUCAUCUUUGCACUCAGAUAGUUUUCAGCAUACCCACCCGGCGCCAGAACGAGAACCAAAU